CGGACGGGUGAGUAACGCGUGAGAAUCUGCCUUCAGGUCUGGGACAACCACUGGAAACGGUGGCUAAUACCGGAUGUGCCGCAAGGUGAAAGGUUAACUGCCUGAAGAUGAGCUCGCGUCUGAUUAGCUAGUUGGCAGUGUAAGAGACUACCAAGGCGACGAUCAGUAGCUGGUCUGAGAGGACGAUCAGCCACACUGGGACUGAGACACGGCCCAGACUCCUACGGGAGGCAGCAGUGGGGAAUUUUCCGCAAUGGGCGAAAGCCUGACGGAGCAAUACCGCGUGAGGGAGGAAGGCUCUUGGGUCGUAAACCUCUUUUCUCAGGGAAGAACACAAUGACGGUACCUGAGGAAUAAGCAUCGGCUAACUCCGUGCCAGCAGCCGCGGUAAUACGGAGGAUGCAAGCGUUAUCCGGAAUGAUUGGGCGUAAAGCGUCCGCAGGUGGCGAUGUAAGUCUGCUGUUAAAGCGUCUAGCUCAACUAGAUAAAAGCAGUGGAAACUACAUAGCUAGAGUACGUUCGGGGCAGAGGGAAUUCCUGGUGUAGCGGUGAAAUGCGUAGAGAUCAGGAAGAACACCGGUGGCGAAGGCGCUCUGCUAGGCCGUAACUGACACUGAGGGACGAAAGCUAGGGGAGCGAAUGGGAUUAGAUACCCCAGUAGUC
rnacentral:rRNA from 1 species